rnacentral:ncRNA from 1 species
AGCGACAAAGGCAAACCGCAAGUGAUUGUGGGGCGCAAAGCAAAGGGUCUUUGUAGAGACGCAAAAUAUUGCGUCUCUACAUUUUGUCCAAAAGAUAGCCUUGCUGCCGAAA